rnacentral:rRNA from 1 species
UACGGAGGGGGCUAGCGUUGUUCGGAAUUACUGGGCGUAAAGCGCACGUAGGCGGCUUUGUAAGUUAGAGGUGAAAGCCCGGGGCUCAACUCCGGAAUUGCCUUUAAGACUGCAUCGCUAGAAUUGUGGAGAGGUAAGUGGAAUUCCGAGUGUAGAGGUGAAAUUCGUAGAUAUUCGGAGGAACACCAGUGGCGAAGGCGACUUACUGGACACAUAUUGACGCUGAGGUGCGAAAGCGUGGGGAGCAAACAGG